GGAUGUUGCCAAGUGGUUAAGGCUCUGGUUUUUGGUGCCGGCAUCGUAGGUUCGAAUCCUGCCAUCCC
rnacentral:tRNA from 1 species